rnacentral:rRNA from 1 species
CAGUAGCCGCGGUAAGACGAACUGUGCGAACGUUAUUCGGAAUCACUGGGCUUAAAGCGCGUGUAGGCGGGCCGCCACGUCGGCUGCUGAAAUCCCCCGGCUCAACCGGGGAACGGGCACCGAUACGAGCGGCCUGGAGGGGGGUAGGGGGGACUGGAACUUCCGGUGGAGCGGUGAAAUGCGUUGAGAUCGGAAGGAACGCCCGUGGCGAAAGCGAGCUCCUGGAUGUCUUCUGACGCUGAGACGCGAAAGCUAGGGUAGCGAACGGGAUUAGAUACCCCUGUAGUCCCUGUCUCUUAUA